AUCCAAGUGUACGUGGUCUAUCAUGUCUUAAAGUUUCCUUAAAGAAAGCCAAUUAUUGAUCCCACAGGAACUUGAUCUAACAACUAUUUGAUUCUAGUUCACAAUUUAGAUUCAAUUGAUGUAAGAGUAACCAAAAUAGAGUUUGGAAUAUUUGUAAAAUAAUGUAAAGGAAACAAUGUGUAAAAUAAAGGUCUUGAGACAACCAAUAGGAGAAAACCUAGGGUUAAA
rnacentral:lncRNA from 1 species